ensembl:miRNA
UGCUUCCCUAGGCCACAUGCUUCUUUAUAUCCCCAUAUGAAUUACUUUGCUAUGGAAUGUAAGGAAGUGUGUGGUUUCGGCAAGUG